rnacentral:rRNA from 1 species
AAGCGUGCGCAGGCGGUUAUGUAAGACAGAUGUGAAAUCCCCGGGCUCAACCUGGGAACUGCAUUUGUGACUGCAUGGCUAGAGUACGGUAGAGGGGGAUGGAAUUCCGCGUGUAGCAGUGAAAUGCGUAGAUAUGCGGAGGAACACCGAUGGCGAAGGCAAUCCCCCUGGACCUGUACUGACGCUCAUGCACGAAAGCGUGGGGAGCAAACAGGAUUAGAUACCCGUGU